UGAAUCUCCAUUUGUUGCGCCGGUUUGGUCGGGGUUCGCCGGCGGCAUAAUUUCCACCCGUGUGGCCUCCCGUUUCACCCAGCCGUACGCGACGUCGACCGGAGGCGUUGGGCUUUUUUUGAGAAUUGGGUAAUGGGUCUGCCUUGGCAGCGGUCGAUCUCGACCCCACACACCGUGCAAGGUCCUCCAGUAGGUUCCCAGAUCCGUGUCCCCUUGGACAAUCCGGCUGACUCUGUCCUCUAAGUUAUAGAUCAGAUACGGGUCCGACGUACUCUGGUACAUCUCGGCCAAGCUGGGUUUAACGUCUUUUUCCUCUCCUGACAUUUUGCAGGUCUGGGUUGUGAUGAAUUAUUUUCCGAGUCUCUGAUUA